UGGGGAAUUGUUCACAAUGGGCGCAAGCCUGAUGACGCAACGCCGCGUGGGGGAUGAAGGUCUUCGGAUCGUAAACCCCUGUCGAAUGGGACGAAAGACUCGCGUCUUAACACUGCGCGAGAUUGACGGUACCUCCAAAGGAAGCACCGGCUAACUCUGUCCCCGCAGCCGCGGUAAUACAGAGGGUGCGAGCGUUGUCCGGAAUCACUGGGCGUAAAGGGCGCGUAGGCGGCCUGGUAAGUAGGGGGUGAAAUCCUGCGGCUCAACCGCAGGGCUGCCUUCUAAACUGUCAGGCUGGAGCACGGUAGAGGCAGAUGGAAUUCCCGGUGUAGCGGUGGAAUGCGUAGAGAUCGGGAAGAACACCAGUGGCGAAGGCGGUCUGCUGGGCCGUUGCUGACGCUGAGGCGCGAUAGCGUGGGGAGCAAA
rnacentral:rRNA from 1 species